UUUUUUUUGUGUGUGAACAUGGUGUGGAAACGUGUUUUGUAACCGAGCAGAACGAUAGCAGUAUUGUAUACUCUCAAUGUUUAAUGGCAACGGAUUGUGUUUGGGGAGCCCAGUCGUUCCAAGGCAAACUGUACAUGUACAAAAGUGUUUUUAAAACAUUCUAUAUAAUCUUUGCUAUUAUUUGUCUGACGAGCAAUGUCCAUGUGAACGGUUGGUGCGGUUCAUUUGUCAAACUGAAGUCAUUUCAUUCUGUAGGCGUAACAUGUAACCUGAAAGUGUAAAGUUGUAGGAAAACACUGGAUUCAUGCUGCUUGAGGGCCGAGUCGUAUUGUUUUAUAUUUAUAUUUUUCUACUUAUUUUUAUAAUAAAAUGACGAGGG